CUGAACCAGGCCACCUGGCCCAUCAUUGCCCGUGGCUGGUUUAGACCAGAGACCAGAGACACGGGAGCUGAACCAGGCCACCCGGCCCAUCGUUGCCCGUGGCUGGUUUAGACCAGAGAGCACAUACAUGGGAGCUGAACCAGGCCACUCGGCCCAUCGAGCCUGCUCUGACAUUCCAUCAUGGCUGGCUUAUUAUUCCCAUUCUCCCGCCUUCCCCCUGCCCCUGACUAAAUAAGAACUGAUCAACCUCAGUUUUAAAUACACCCACUGACUCGCCCUCGGAACCAGCUCCACAGUCUCACCACCUGAAGGAACUCCUCCCUGUCUCUCCUCUGAAGGGAAGCCCCUGUAUUCUGUGCCCUCUUGGUGCUUGACUCCCCGCCCGCCCCCUCUCCUCUGAAGGGACAUCCUCUCCACAUCCACUCCUUCCGGGCUUCCUAAUUUUCAGUGAGGCUCCACCCCGCCCCUCAUUCUUCUGAUCUCCAGCGAGUACAGGCCUGGAGCCAUCCCGAUCGGUUAACCCUUCUGUUCCCGGGAUCGUUCUCUCCGGUGCCAGCUCAUUCUCUCUCACCUUUCUAGGCUUUCUGAGGAGAUGUGCAACCCCCCCCCCCCACCCUCACUCUAACCAUCUUUCUGCGGGAAGCGCCAUCGAGGACGUCCUGUCUGGCACGAAGGUUGCGAGGUAGGGGACCGCCAGGUCUCUGGUAUCCGCCGGGGCCUCCCUUCCCCACCGUUAGUGACAUUUUCCGGGAACGAGUCCGAAGAAACUGCGAGGGUUCCCCCGCCACCCGUCCCAUGAUCUCUUUUGACCCAGGAGCAUCGGGACUGGGACCGCCAGGCCGGCUAACAGCUCCCCCCACCCCCCCCGGGCGGUGAGGCCAAUGAGUGCCCUCCAGCCUCGUCGCUGGGGUAACGAGCUGUUCACCGGUUACCUGCGGCGUGAGCUUCGCCUGGCGUCUUGGAGAGCAUCUUGCCAGCUGACCGGUGGUAACAUCUCGUUGGCUGUCACUAACGCACCGUGGGCACAGCUGUGAUCCGGGCGUGUCUACACGUUGAACACAGGCCAGGCCAUUCGGCCCACCGUGUCUGUGCUGAGCCAGCUAAAAUUCAAAACCACCCAAACACUAACCCCUCCCACCUACACCAUGUCCACAUCCCUCCAUUUUCCUCACAUCCAUCUGCUGAUCCAAACGUCUCCUAAAAGCCUCCAAUGUAUUUGCCUCCACCACCAGGCCAGGCAUCCUGAAUAAAAAAAAUUUACCCCUCACAUCCCCCCCCCCCUCACCUUCAAUGCAUGCCCUCUGGUAUUAGACAUUCCAACCCUGGGGAACAGAUACUCCCUGUCCACUCUAUCGAUGCCUCUCAUCAUCGUGUAAACCUCUACCAGAUCUCCCCUCAGCCUCCGACACUCCGGAGAAAACAGCCCAGGCUUGUCCAGCCUCUCCCAAUAGCACAGGCCCUCCUGGUAAAUCUCUCCUGCAUAUAUAUAAAUAUAGACAUGACAUCUGUUCACAGUACUCCAAACGCAGUCUGGCCAAUGCCCCUUACCUCUUCUCACCUGAAGACUACUUCCCCCUGGCCCACCCUCCUCUCCCGUCAGAUUCCGUCCUCUCCAGCCCUUGACCUUUCCCACCCACCGGGCUUCACCCAUCACCGUCCAGCUAUCCUCCUUCCCCUCCUCCUCCACCUUUUUAUUCUGGCCUCUCCCCCCCUUCCUUCUCGGUCCCGAUGAAGGGUGUCGGCCCGAAAUGUCGACUGUUUAUUGCCCUCCACAGACGCUGCCCGACCUGCUGAGUCCCUCCAGCAUUUUGUGUGUGUGUGUGUGUCUCUGGAUUUCCAGCGUCUGCAGGCUUUCCCCUGUUUAUAAUACCUCAUAACUCCUCAGUUGUUGACAGCCCUGAACUUUCUCUGUGACUCCACACUCUGUGUGAUCUUGCUGUAAGUGUGCCUGGCUUUCAUCUGCAGCACACACAUCUUUAAUAUCUCCAUUUUUCCCUUUUCAUGGUUCUUCUGAAAACCCUGACCUGGAGUUACACGCUGACUGUGGUUCUUUGCGGGAAUGGGACCCGCUCUCGGCACGCCGAGGGCUCGGCCUAAGAGUUGGGCUCGCCUUUGGAGGCCUGGGACCUCGGGGCCCUGGAGACGGGCGGAUCGAGGGUCGGUGUGUCGUCGGGGGAGUCGGAAGAUCUAUGGCUGUGUGUCCGGAGACCUGAGUUCUUCGGGCACAGAGCUCGAAAACAGCGAAGGAACUGACUUUUAACAUCGUAAGCCAGCGAGCUGAUUGUUACGUCUCACCUCUCGCUGUGAAACGGGGGCACCAUGCUCCCUUAUUAGGGAGAGAGAGAGAGAGAGAGAGAGAGCCUGUGUAAACGCGCCUUUGAAAGCUUUGGAAAUGCCAGAGGAACUCAGCAGGCCGGGCGGCUCCCGUGGAAAGCGGUGAACAGCCGACGUUUCGGGCCGGGACCCUUCCCCAGCCGCUGGGAGGGAAGAUGAGGAGUCAGAGCUCGAAGAGCAAGUGCUGGAGGAAGUCAGCAGGCCGGGCAGCAUCCGUGGAGAGGGAUGAACAGUCGACGUUUUGGGCUGGGUCCCUUCAUCAGGACCGGAACAGAUGGCAGAGAAGAUGAGGCGGAGAGCGAUGACCUGCAGACGAGGGGAAACUGAAGGAAGGCCAUGGAAUUACUUGAAAAAAUAUAAUGGCGACGAGAGGGCGUACAGCAGCGAGAUGUACCAGCUGGUUGAGUGGUGUCGCAGCAACAACCUGGCAUUCAACGUCCGUAAGACCAAAGAGCUGAUGGUGGACUUCAGGAAGCGUAAGGUGGGGGAAACACAUACCAAUCUUCAUAGAGGGAUCAGAAGUGGAGAGAGUGAGCAAUUUCCUGGAUGUCAAUAUCUCCGAGGAUCUAACCUGGUCGCAACAUAUCGAUGAAGCUAUAAAGAAGACUGUAUUACAUGAGCAGACUUGGGAGAUUUGGUUUGUCACCUAAGACACUUGCAAAUUUCUGCAGAUGUACUGUGGAGAGCAUUCUAAUUGGCUGCAUCACCGUCUGGUAUGGCGCGGGGUGAGUGAAGCUACUUCAUGGAUUGAAACAAGCAGCAAAGAGUUGUAAACUCAGUCAGCUCCAUCACGGGCACCAGCCUCCGAGUAUCCAGGACGUCUUCAAGGAACGAUGCCUCAGAAAGGUGGUGUCCAUCAUUAAGGACCCCCACCACCCAGGACGUGCCCUCUUCUCACUGCUACCAUCAGGGAGGAGGUACAGGAGCCUGAAGGCACACACUCAACGAUUCAGGAACAGCUUCUUCCCCUCUGCCAUCAGGGAGGAGGUACAGGAGCCUGAAGACACACACUCAGCGAUUCAGGAAAUACUUCUUUCCCUCCGCCAUCAGGGAGGAGGUACAGGAGCCUGAAGACACACACUCAACGAUUCAGGAACAGCUUCUUCCCCUCCGCCAGCAGGGAGGAGGUACAGGAGCCUGAAGACACACACUCGGCGAUUCAGGAACAGUUUCUUCCCCUCCACCAUCAGGGAGGAGGUACAGGAGCCUGAAGACACAUACUCAACGAUUCAGGAACAGUUUCUUCCCCUCUGCCAUCAGGGAGGAGGUACAGGAGCCUGAAGACACACACUCAACGAUUCAGGAACAACUUCUUCCCCUCUGCCGUCCGAUUCCUGAAUGGACACUGAACCUGUGAACACUACCUCAAUACUUUUUUUUUCUGUUUAUUGCUAUUUUUAAUUGAACUAUUUAUUAUAUGGAUAUAUACCUCCUGUAGAUUUACCUAUUUGUAUAUUUUUUUCGAGAUUAUGUAUUGUAUUAAAAUGCCACUGCUAAGCUAACAAAUUGCACGACACAUGCCAGUGAAAAUAAACCUGAUUCUGAUUUAACAAAGAUUAACAAACAAUGUUCAAAGCAAGACAAAUUAUGCCAAUAAAUAAAUAAUUCU